CUGGGCAGAGCUUGCUCUAGUGGUUGGCAGCCCUGUCCAUGGCAGGGGGGUUGAAACUAGAUGAUCUUUCAGGUCCUUUUCAACCCCGGCCAUUCUGUGAUUCUAUGGUUCUAUGGUUCUAUGAUUCUAUGAUCUAGUCCAACCCCCCUGCGAUGAAUAGGGACACCUGCAGCUACAUCAGGUUGCUCAGAGCCCAUCCAGCCUGACACUGAACGUCUCCAGGGACGAGGCAUCCACAACCUCUCUGGGCAAUCUGUUUCAGUGCCUCACUACCUUUAUUACAAAAACUUCUUUCUUAUAUCUGGUCUAAAUCUCCCUUCUUUUAGUUUGAAACCAAUUCCCCUUUUUCUAUCACAGCAGACCCUGCUAAAGAGUCUGUCCCCUUCUUUCUAAUAGACGCCCUUUAGAUACUGAAAGGCUGCUCUCAGCUCUCCCUGGAGCCUUCUCUUCUCCAGGAUGAACAGCCCAAGCUCUCUCAGCUUGUCCUCCUAGGAGAAGUGUUCCAUCCCUUGGAUCAUUUUUGUGGCCCUCCUCUGGACGCCUUCCAACAGGUCCAUGUCUCUCCUGUACUGAGGACUCCACAUCUGGACACAGUACACCAGGUUCAGAGUCACUUCACUGUCAAUUAGAGCAAAAGCAGUAUUUACACUGUACAUUAAAACACCUAUCAGUGUAUCUGAGAUCUCAGCUUGUCAGGUAGACUCAGAGCAUGGAGCCCAUAUAAGUUUCAAGAGGUUACAUGAGGACUACAGAAGGCUAAUAGCAUGAUAACAGCUGCUAGCACGGGGAUGUAAGCAAUGCAAACAUCAGAUUCAUGCAGUUUGGCUAGCUUGUUGCCAAGGAUGUCAGACUCCUGAGUGAUGGAGAAAGCUUUGCCACAAUUGACACUGUCUCCAGCUUCCAAAGGCUGAAAUAAUACUCCUGGCUAUAAGCCAUCCUUUGCCCACAUCCAGGAGUGCUCCAAACAUGACUGCUUCAGAGGACCUGAGAAUACUGACACCAGCCUAGCAGAGGACUCCAUGAAAAGUGAAAAAAACAUCCUGCAGUCUCUCAUCCAGAUGUAUCAUUUUGGCACGUCGAAGAUGAAGAGACACUAUAGCUUGCAAAAUUAGAUCUCACCAGUCUUACAGGUUGAUGCUGUUUAUGCAGGUGAACGGGCUCAACGUGGCUUUGGCACUUCAUGAGAGCUUCCUGGGAACUGGAGCACUACUUACUAUAUAUCACUGGAAACAGCAUGGUAGCUGUUGGGAUAUAUACAAGAGCAACAAAAGGGACGUUGCAAUAUCUAGGAGAAAAGAAUUAACACCUGAUACAUUUUAAAAGUACAGUGAGCAGGCCAAACAUUUAAGGUAAAAUAACCGUUUUCCAGAAGUGAUUUCAUUACUUUUCCUUCUGUGUUAUUUGUAAUUUUCUCAACAGUGCAGUAUUUUUAACUUUGAGACAAUAUAUUAAUGUGGGGAUAUUGUCAGUGUAGCUAAUCUUUUCUUUUAGGAACAUCUUAAAAAUUAGCAUAUCUAUCUAAACUGCUAAAAGAGAGAUUACCCCAUCGUUAACUACACACACAUGUUAACGAGAGAGGUGGGAUCGAGACCUCAUGACAACUGCAGACCUCUCUCUACGCACUUAGGCAUAGUGUACCCAUAGCGUAUAAGGGAUGUACCUUUGUUCUGUUGGGGUGCACAUUAAAAAGGAAAUAUCCCCUGGGCAUCCGGGGCCGUAUUAGAGAAUGCCUGCUUCUUAAUACCCACAUUUGUCUUAAGGAGUUUUAUUUGGGUCGAGGUUUGUCUGGCAACAGGUAGACCAAAUGUUUGAGACAGGAGAAAGAUACUGCAGUUCGUCUGCAUUUCAGAGCACUCUUCCUGAGACAGGCUAUGCCGGUGACAACACAUGAUACUGUCUGAGGUAUGUGCUCACUGUAUCUUCUUCCCAGAAAUAAUACAUACUUUAGAGAACAGAGGACAAUAUCUGAGAAGUGUAACUGCUACUUAUACAGCAAAUGCUCUGUAUGCUACACAACUGUAAAAUGAUCAAUCAAGGCUUGUCAAAAAUGAAAAUCCACAAAAAUAAUAAAAAAAAGGCCAUGAAAUGAAAUAAAAGGGGAAAAAAUAAGAGCUGAAUGCACAUACUCUAUUAAAGCAUGAAUAUCAGGAUAAGGCAUAUGAAAAGAGACGUAGGAGAGCAACUGUAGUUUUAAAACACUUGAUAAUUAAAGAUGAAACAAAAAGUAGAAUAAGAUUAGAUUGAAGGAAGGAAGUCUAGCAAGGUUGUGGAAACUUGAGAAAAAAUAGUUACAUGUAGAACAAAUAAGAAACAGGAUGUUGUACUUCAUAAAGUUACACAAAGUUAAAAGAUUUAAACAUAAAAAAUAUAACAGCUUUCAGUGUAAUUUAUGGUAUAAAGACACUUCUUAUUUUGUGGAGUAAAAGCAAGCAACUUCUGAUCUUCAGAUCAAUCUAAAUAGAUAUUUAAUUGUUUAGAUUUCAAGGUCUCAAUCAAUUACUUCUUCCAACAGUAAAUAUCCAUAGUUAAAAUGCUUUGGGAUGUUUCUAUCUUUGUACUCUGUCUUUUUCUCUCAUCUCGAAGAAAAGCUCAAAGAAUAUAAAUAUAAGGAAUAAUUUUUUUACAGUGAGGGUGGUGAGGUAUUGAAAUACGUUGCCCAGUGUUGUGGUUCAUGUCCUGAUCCUGGAGACUUUCAAGGCAAGGCUGGACUGGGCCCCAGGCAACCUGAUCUAGCUGUGGUUGUCCCUGUUAGUUGCAGGGGAGUUAGACUAGAUGGUCUUUAGAGGUGCCUUCCAACUCUAAGGAUUCUAUUAUUCUAAAAGCUAAUGCAAAUGUAAAAGCUAGAAUGAAAAAUCAGUCUUUCAAAAUGAUAAUGAUUUGUAAGCUUUCAACAUUGUCUAAAAAUCUGUGUAAAAUGCAUGCACCAUAAUGUGAAAUAAACAAAUGAAAACAUAGCUUAGAUGUA
ensembl:lncRNA